rnacentral:rRNA from 1 species
AACGAACGCUGGCGGCAUGCCUAACACAUGCAAGUCGAACGGGACCUUCGGGUCUAGUGGCGCACGGGUGCGUAACGCGUGGGAACCUGCCCUUAGGUUCGGAAUAACUCCCCGAAAGGGGUGCUAAUACCGGAUAAUGUCUUCGGACCAAAGAUUUAUCGCCUUUGGAUGGGCCCGCGUUGGAUUAGCUAGUUGGUAGGGUAAAAGCCUACCAAGGCGACGAUCCAUAGCUGGUCUGAGAGGAUGAUCAGCCACACUGGGACUGAGACACGGCCCAGACUCCUACGGGAGGCAGCAGUGGGGAAUAUUGGACAAUGGGCGAAGGCCUGAUCCAGCAAUGCCGCGUGAGUGAUGAAGGCCUUAGGGUUGUAAAGCUCUUUUACCCGGGAUGAUAAUGACAGUACCGGGAGAAUAAGCUCCGGCUAACUCCGUG